ACUACUUUGGCAGACAUGAAGUGCAAUAGAUUUAGAAUCUGUAAAUAUGAGUGAAUCAUAGGUAGUA
rnacentral:tRNA from 1 species